AAUCCUAUUGGUUGGUGAACCUAGAGGUUCACCCUAGGGGGUGAACCCAAGAAUAACUCAAUAAAAUUUAAGAGCUUUAACCUUUGCUGUCGAAACGGUUAGUCAAAUCCGAGACUAUCUGCUCCCAAACGCCACAGAUUCACGUGACAAAGCCGUUUUCAUGGCUUGUGAGCAGGUCCGGCCCUGUAAAAAAAUAUUUUAAAAAGGCUGGAAGCACACAGGAAAAAAAGGCUUGCACGGACACUGGAACUUGAUACCUUUUAGUAGAAUAACAGAUACUUAACCAUCUGACCUACUGAUAACCCUUAUACAAAUGGCCGAAAUUUUCUCUUGUUAUUAAUGGCCGGAAGCAGAUGUUCUACCGCUUCUACCCAGGGCCACUACUGCUUGUGAGAUCGCCUACAAGGCCGUGGUUUCUCGGCUUGAGAGUGCAGAUCAAUCCAUGUCGAGAGGUGAUUACGUGACGUUGGAGGCACAGCAGAAUCAAGCACUUGGUUAUGUUAAAGUGAGUAUUAGGAGGACUAACUUCUUUCGCCGGACACCAUAUUGAUGAUCAAUAUUGCCUCCAUCGCAGCUCAGAUACUUGCUCCUCCAUAAUUAAGAACACAACUUUUUCAUGUUUUUCAUGCCAAACUUCAUGCCGUUUUCAUAAAAAAAACUUCAUUCCGAUAUGUAACUGCCACUUCUGGUAAACCAUCGUUAUCUCUCUCUAAAGUUAUUUAUCCAUGCAUUUACCACAAAGUUAUCUGCUUUCAGGUUUGUUGAUUUUGUGUUUAAUUUGUUAAAAUAUGUUAUUUGGGUUAUGUGUGGCUUAAAGAAUCAAUAAUUUGACUUUACAUUUUUGAAAUAUUCUUGUUUCUUGAAGACGACCAUUCCAGUGUUGUCCAUGUGGUAAUCAUAACAUAUGCUUAUAAAACAACUCUCUUGUUUGAAGGUUUGGCGAAACAUACGCGCUGUGUGGGGAUCGAUGCUGCAGUUCCACCUUCAAAGAAGCCGGAUUCAAGGGAGUUGCUCGACCAAGCAUUGAAAGAGAAACAAAACUGUUGAGACAUAAGAUUUUGCUAAACAUCAAAUAUAUAGAGUCAAGAGCCUUCUGACAAAUGAGCAGUUUCUUGCGGUGCAGGAAAAUAAAAUCUUUAGUAUAUGAGAUGUGUUAUGCAAGACCUGUGAUGUGGCAUGGCUUGGUUGACUUGUUUAUUAAUCAAAAUGUAAACUGAACCCUGCAAGUUUUUUUCUUAAAGAGUAGGAUCUCUCUUAAGACAUCUCGAUUCGGUGCAUAAAGAAGCCAAGCCGUGUUGUGAUCCUAGACGACGUCGCAUUGGUGUCUCGAUUGAUCAUGGAGCGUCCUGGGAAAAAAGUUUUGUAUGAGAUACGUCAUCAUGCUUCAUUUCCCUAUGAUCCUAGAAACCCUCCUCUUCCUCAGCCAGCAUAUCAAGAUCAUUUACUUCUGGAAUAUGGUCCGAGAAUCAUUAUGUUCUUGGUCUUGUGGAUGGUAGCGAGACCCUAUUUUUCAUCAAAGCUAAUGGUGAAGAAAUAAGUCAAAGUCACAAAACGAAAUUUGAAUGUUUCUUCAUUAGUAUUAGGACUCAUGCAAGAUGGUGAUGGUUUGCAAACAUCAUGCUUGUAGCUGAUGGCUCUAGCUGGCUCACGAACACUCUUUGUCGCACUUAAAUCAUCUCAGAUCGCUGCGGCGUCCAUUUCUCCAGAGGAUCUAUCGAGUGUUGAAACAUCCGUUUCCUGCUUUUAUAAACUCUCUGCUUCUGCUACUUUCUAGUUGUACAAAGAGUAGAUGAAUUUACAGAACCGAGGAUUAUGAGAAAAUGAGGAAGUUUCGAAAACUGCUGAUAUUCCGUAUUUUUAACGGUUUUAAACUCGUUUUGGAGCAAUUAAAUGGUCGGUUUUAAUUAA